AUUACCUAAUCAGCCACCACCACAGCUAUACCAGCAUUUGCUGUGCAAAAUCAGUUUUAGGAUGUACAUGAAAUGAUGGAGUAUUCUUGAUCUGCUCAGGAGUUUUAGGCCUC